CCUACGGGGGACAGCAGUGGGGGAUAUUGCACAAUGGGGGGAACCCUGAUGCAGCGACGCCGCGUGGGUGAAGAAGCGCCUCGGCGCGUAAAGCUCUGUCAGUAGGGAAGUAAAUGACGGUACCUGAAGAAGAAGCCCCGGCGAACUACGUGCCAGCAGCCGCGGUAAUACGGAGGGGGCAAGCGUUAUCCGGAUUUACUGGGUGUAAAGGGGGCGCAGAGGGUGUUGCAAGCCAGGAGUGAAAGCCCGGGGCCCAACCCCGGUACUGCUCUUGGAACUGGGUGGCUGGAGUGCAGGAGGGGCAGGCGGAAUUCGUGGUGUAGCGGUGAAAUGCGUAGAUAUCAGGAGGAACACCGGUGGCGAAGGCAGCCUGCUAGACUGCAACUGACGUUGAGGCCCGAAAGCGUGGGGAGCAAACAGGAUUAGAUACCCGAGUAGUC
rnacentral:rRNA from 1 species